AGAACUUAGCAGAGAUGCUUUGGUGCCUUCGGGAACUCUGAGACAGGUGCUGCAUGGCUGUCGUCAGCUCGUGUUGUGAAAUGUUGGGUUAAGUCCCGCAACGAGCGCAACCCUUAUCCUUUGUGCCAGCGGUUAGGCCGGGAACUCAAAGGAGACUGCCAGUGAUAAACUGGAGGAAGGUGGGGAUGACGUCAAGUCAUCAUGGCCCUUACGAGUAGGGCUAUACACGUGCUACAAUGGCGCAUACAAAGAGAAGCGACCUCGCGAGAGCAAGCGGACCUCAUAAAGUGCGUCGUAGUCCGGAUUGGAGUCUGCAACUCGACUCCAUGAAGUCGGAAUCGCUAGUAAUCGUGGAUCAGAAUGCCACGGUGAAUACGUUCCCGGGCCUUGUACACACCGCCCGUCACACCAUGGGAGUGGGUUGCAAAAGAAGUAGGUAGCUUAACCUUCGGGAGGGCGCUUACCACUUUGUGAUUCAUGACUGGGGUGAAGUCGUAACAAGGUAAGCGUAGUGCU
rnacentral:rRNA from 1 species